CCUACGGGGGGCUGCAGUGGGGGAUAUUGCACAAUGGGGGGAACCCUGAUGCAGCGACGCCGCGUGGGUGAAGGAGCGUUUCGGCGCGUAAAGCCCUAUCGGCAGGGAAGAAGAUGACGGUACCUGGCCAAGAAGCCCCGGCUAACUACGUGCCAGCAGCCGCGGUAAUACGUAGGGGGCAAGCGUUAUCCGGAUUUACUGGGUGUAAAGGGGGCGCAGACGGCAAUGCAAGCCAGGAGUAGAAGCCGGGGGCCCAACCCCGGGACUGCUCUUGGAACUGCAUGGCUGGAGUACAGGAGGGGCAGGCGGAAUUCCUAGUGUAUCGGUGAAAUGCGUAGAUAUUAGGAGGAACACCGGUGGCGAAGGCGGCCUGCUGGACUGUGACUGACGUUGAGGCACGAAGGCGUGGGGAGCAAACAGGAUUAGAUACCCCGGUC
rnacentral:rRNA from 1 species